rnacentral:lncRNA from 1 species
GCAGAUUUGUUUUUAUAUUCCUAUGAAGCAGAAUUUAUCCAAGGGCUUGUACAGAAAGGAGAAAAGAAAUUAGUCCAGUCUUUUAAUUUCAUUUUUCGGUAUAUUGAUGAUGUACUGUCUCUUAAUAAUAAUAGAUUCAGUGAUCAGUUACGUUUAAUAUAUCCAAGUGAACUUGAAAUUAAAGAUACUACCGACACAGAUAAAUCUGCUUCAUAUUUAGACCUUUUUCUCGAAAUGACUACUGAUGGUAGGU